AGCGAACGCUGGCGGCAUGCCUAACACAUGCAAGUCGAACGAACUCUUCGGAUUUAGUGGCGGACGGGUGCGUAACACGUGGGAACGUGCCUUUUGGUUCGGAAUAACUCAGGGAAACUUGUGCUAAUACCGAAUGUUCCCUUCGGGGGAAAGAUUUAUCGCCAUUAGAGCGGCCCGCGUCUGAUUAGCUAGUUGGUGUGGUAACGGCUUACCAAGGCGACGAUCAGUAGCUGGUCUGAGAGGAUGACCAGCCACACUGGGACUGAGACACGGCCCAGGCUCCUACGGGAGGCAGCAGUGGGGAAUAUUGCGCAAUGGGCGAAAGCCUGACGCAGCCAUGCCGCGUGAAUGAUGAAGGUCUUAGGAUUGUAAAAUUCUUUCACCGGGGACGAUAAUGACGGUACCGGGAGAAGAAGCCCCGGCUAACUUCGUG
rnacentral:rRNA from 1 species